ensembl:snRNA
GUGUUGUAUGAAAGGAGAGAAGGUUAGCACUCCCCUUGACAAGGAUGGAAGAGGCUCUCGGGCCUGACAACACGCAUACGAUUAAGGCAUUGCCAGCUACUUCAUGGCAUCUAACCACUGUUUUUC